rnacentral:rRNA from 1 species
UACGUAGGGGGCAAGCGUUGUCCGGAUUUAUUGGGCGUAAAGAGCGUGUAGGCGGCUAGGUAGGUCCGUUGUGAAAACUCGAGGCUCAACCUCGAGACGCCGGUGGAAACCAUCUAGCUAGAGUCCGGAAGAGGAGAGUGGAAUUCCUGGUGUAGCGGUGAAAUGCGCAGAUAUCAGGAAGAACACCCGUGGCGAAGGCGGCUCUCUGGACCGAGACUGACGCUGAGGCGCGAAGGCGUGGGGAGCAAACAGG